rnacentral:lncRNA from 1 species
GGGUGUAAUUUAUUUACUAACUAUCAUUCUUUUAAGCAUUCAGAAAGUUGUAGAAGGUUUUUUGGAAAACAAAAGAUGUCUUUGGAAAGCUGGUUUGAAGGAGUAUAAUUUUCGUACAAGGAUUGUUAACUUUGAGUCUGCAAUGAGAGAGUUAUGGCUGUUUAAAGUCUUGAUGUGAAAUUUGUAUCUACUAUCACUCUUUCAAGCAUACAAAGAGUUGUAAAAAGGCAUUUAACAAUUGGAAGAUGGAAUUAGAAAUCUGACUUGAAGGACUUC